rnacentral:sRNA from 1 species
CUCAGACAUGCCAAUGGCGACCCCGCCCAU